GGAAUUUCAUCCCCUCUGGAGCCUGAUGUGUCAGCUUGCUAGACGGGGUCCCUCCCACGGAAGAAUAGACAAUUUAAUAAACCUUGUGCAUUUGCAUCGGUAGUCUGUCUCCCUGGUCUCUUUGGGGAUCCUUGUGACUCAGGCACAACAGCAUGGACUAUUGGGAAAACAUUACCCACUCUGGAAGUCUUACCCUUCUCUCCUGAGGGGCUCUUUGCUUGGAACAAUAUCUGACACAAAGGAAAGACAUUUAAAGGUUAACACAGUUGCUGAAGAUAUGAUUCACACAGAACAAGUUUCCUGUCUUGCUGUGUUCCUGUAAAGAUCUGACUCAAGUGUGAGGAUGCAAUUUAAAACAACCUUCUUGCUUGGAUCAGAAUUGAGAAAGAGGGCCUUGUUGGAAGCAUUUUUAUUUGUUUGUUUUUUGUU
rnacentral:lncRNA from 1 species